AGCUCCACUCAGAAUCUGUUUUUGACAGCAGUGAUGUAUGGGUUGUAUUCGGUAUAAAUAAAUUAAAUAACACCCAAAACAUUGGCCUAUCCAGGGUGUGAAGAGCCGGAUUUGGUCACAUUAUGUUUUUACAUACACAGACCAGCCAACGAACGUACCAACCGAGAAUAUUUUUGUUUUUCUAAAGCUAGAAGUUCUUCAACAUUAAAUUAUUGAAAGUCUCCAGUGGAUCGGAUCGGAAGUUUGUUUUCAACAGUUCUUGAAAGU